UGGGGAAUCUUGCACAAUGGGCGAAAGCCUGAUGCAGCGACGCCGCGUGCGGGAUGAAGGCCUUCGGGUUGUAAACCGCUUUCAGCAGGGACGAGGCCGCAAGGUGACGGUACCUGCAGAAGAAGCCCCGGCUAACUACGUGCCAGCAGCCGCGGUAAUACGUAGGGGGCAAGCGUUAUCCGGAUUCAUUGGGCGUAAAGCGCGCGUAGGCGGUUUGUUAGGUCAGGAGUUAAAUCUGGGGGCUCAACCCCUAUCCGCUCCUGAUACCGGCAGGCUUGAGUCUGGUAGGGGAAGGCGGAAUUCCAAGUGUAGCGGUGAAAUGCGCAGAUAUUUGGAAGAACACCGGUGGCGAAGGCGGCCUUCUGGGCCACGACUGACGCUGAGGCGCGAAAGCUAGGGGAGCAAACAGG
rnacentral:rRNA from 1 species